rnacentral:rRNA from 1 species
ACACGUAGGGGGCAAGCGUUGUUCGGAAUUAUUGGGCGUAAAGGGCAUGUAGGCGGUUUGGUAAGCCUGAUGUGAAAUCCUGCAGCUUAACUGUAGAACUGCAUUGGGUACUGCCGAACUUGAAUCACUGAGGGGAAACUAGAAUUCCAGGUGUAGGGGUGGAAUCUGUAGAUAUCUGGAAGAAUACCGGUGGCGAAGGCGGGUUUCUAGCAGAUGAUUGACGCUGAGGUGCGAAAGUGCGGGGAGCGAACAGGAUUAGAUACCCUGGUAGUCCGCACCGUAAACGAUGUACACUAGGUGUCGGGGCAUGAGUCUCGGUGCCAAAGCUAACGUAAUAAGUGUACCGCCUGGGGAGUAUGCCCGCAAGGGUGAA